rnacentral:misc_RNA from 1 species
AUCGCAUGAGAUAGUCACCGAGUCAUCAAUUAUCCCUUUAUUUACUUUAGAUUCCAUUCUUUUCCUCCUCCAGGAUAGGAAUCAGUGAUGCUGUACAUGAGAAAAGAGUAAUUGCUAUCUCUAGGCUCUAGUCUCACCAUCAAGCUUUUAUCAACUGGCUUUUUCUGUUAUGACAGUUGACAUGUUUUACUGUAGACAUUUCACAUUUCAGGUGGAGAGCCAUGGAUAGGAAGUUUUUCGGUAAUCACUGCUGAAUAUAAUGUAAUUUUUUACCCGGAUGAUGCUUAUUAGUACAGGAUUUUGGUUCCAUUAUAUUCAGCAGUGAUUACCGAAAAACUUCCUAUCCAUGGCUCUCCACCUGAAAUGUGAAAUGUCUACAGUAAAACAUGUCAACUGUCAUAACAGAAAAAGCCAGUUGAUAAAAGCUUGAUGGUGAGACUAGAGCCUAGAGAUAGCAAUUACUCUUUUCUCAUGUACAGCAUCACUGAUUCCUAUCCUGGAGGAGGAAAAGAAUGGAAUCUAAAGUAAAUAAAGGGAUAAUUGAUGACUCGGUGACUAUCUCAUGCGAUUGUGUCACCUCAUGAACUACCUUAAAGGCCCAUCCAACAAACUAAACUGCAUUUUUCUUGUUUCUGAAGCUUUCCUUUAGCAACGCAAAUUUUUUCUUGCACUGAUUCACAGUCUUCCCAGGAACAGCAGCUGCAACUCGCUCCCAACGCUGACUGGUUUCCUUUGGGAAGGUUUUUAGGGCCUGAACUAGUGCUCUUUCUUGUACAGUAGACCAUGCAUCUUGGUCUGAGCUUGAAGACGACCCAUUCUCAGCAAACCCUUCAUCAGGAUUCUUGUUAUUUGCAGAUCUACUUGAAGAUUCCUCUGAAUCAUCCAACUUCAUAGCACUGCUUCCAGGCCCUUGUUUAAUUGCUGCUGAUCCUAUUUCCUCCCUAGUUGUAAGUGGAGAUGCAAUGGAUUGUGCAGGCUUCCUCUUCUCAAGAAAAGAAUCAAAAGCUUUAGCAGAGUCGGGCUUCUGGAGGAGGACAGUUUUUGUUGCCUUCAGAAU